CGUAGAUGAAUAUAACAAUAAUCAUUAACCUAAUAUUUACGAAUAAACUAAAUAUGAAUGAGCAUAGUAGGAAUACUAUAGUACUGGAUAUAUGUGUUUACUCCAUAUUAUCAAAGGUUUUCGGUUUGACUUUUUUCGGUUUUUUAUUUUUGUGUGCACCUAUACUAUUUAUGACGGACUACGAUUGUAACGGAUUCAAUUUCGGUUUUUUUUUUUUUUUUUUUGCACUCGAUAGAGUUUCGGGCUGCUGCCGUAAUGGGUUUAUUUUGAACGUUCUAUACCGGACACCGGCCCUCACAUCAUUUAGUUUUUCACUCGUUAAAAACGGUACUGGGGACACCGGGGACCAUACAGUAUAGUAGUAUAGAGGUCAAUAAAAUGCCAAUGAGCUACCGGACGAAAUCGAAUCCGUGUCGUUGUUACGCGACGAGAACGGCCGUAACCAUUAUCCGCCCGGUAACUCUUGUAUAGAUACACUACCAUAAAAAAAAAACCGAUAUGAUUCGCUCCACAGACAGGGACGGUACGGGAUACGUAAUUAUAAUUAUUUAUUUGUACAGUAUAUAAUAAUAUAAGACACAAAUUAUGUUAUCGAUUAAAUUAUAUUGUAUUAAUUAGACUCGUGGGUACCCAAAUGUGAGUCGUCCCUGUACGGCCUAGUUUUCAAAAAGUAGAAAUUAAAUAAAUAAUAUACAUACAAGGUGUCCUAUACAGUGUUUAUGUUUUACUAAUAACUCUGUCAAUAUUCAUUUUAUUUUACAUUUUUUUUUUUUUUAUUAUUAUUCAAUCGGGUUUUGUUCGAAGGUGAAAAUAGGGGAGAAAACAAUAUUAAUAUUCAAUAAAAGAUAAGUAACGUGUAAUUCUAUUAAAAAUUAAUCGUUUUGACGUAAAUUUUUUAGAAAUUAAAACGGCUAUUACUAAAAAACCCAUUGAUCAAAUAUGAAUGCAUGUUUCAUUCAAUUCUUUUAAUAUAAUGUCUUUUACAAAAUAGCUAUUUUGAAAAUUUAAAAAAAAAUUUAUAAAAUAAAAAGUUAUUUAUUUUUUCAAUAAUUGAGGACCGACUAAAUAUGCGUUUUUGGAAAACUACAGGACGACGGUCAUCUGCUAAAAUGCAUGAAUGCGCCAUAAAAUAUAGAAGAUAGAAAUAAUCCACAUGAUAAACUGACAUAUCGAGAAAUCGAUUUUAUAAAAUACUGGUCUAAGAUAAGCAUAUAAGUUUUGUUAACUUCACGAAAGAAGAAGAAGAAUAAUUAAGGGAAAAAAAUAC